UUUAAUCUGUAAAGCAAUCAGAAAAAUUCAUCACAAAAGGUUAUAGUUUGAAUGACAAAAUAAAGAGAAACAUGUUGGAACUUGGAUUGCUGAUGGAAACAGAAAAUUCCAAAUGGAAAUAUCCCAUAAGCAAAUUAUUAUAAAUCAAGAAUUACAUACCCAGAUCAAUUAAUGGAAUGGUGCUGGAAAUAUGGCUGAGUUUGAAACAUUUUAGGUGUAGAUUACACCUGUCAAGAGCAUAAUAUAGUCUUGUCUCCUUCUUCCUAUAAAAUGCAACCUCCCCACCUCUUCUCUUUUACUUCACUCUCUCUGCUCCUUUUGGCCUGUUUCUUUUUUUCACAUCUAAUGGCUAGGUUUAAGACUUCUGUCGAGAAGAAGACAAAGAUGGCAGCUUCAAGAGCUCAACAACUGCAGCAGGAGCAGGAGGACUCCAUUGAUUUAAGGUCACCCUUCUCCUAUUCACUUCCUCCUGUGCUUGCACUGCCUGCUCUCACUACAGGAGAAAUUAUCUAUGACGGGAGAAAUCCAUCGGUAGACAUGAAAAAACCCUCUCUACAAGGCCAACAGGAAAGGAACCAACUUCAUGCUGGUGGGAACUUUUAGAAUUUUCCAUGAACAGGUGCAAGGUACUUUUGACAUCCGCAGGACCAUAUAGCAAUCUUUAAAUUCAAGUUUAAUAAAAAUAAGAUAAACACUAAUUAGUUAUUUCCAACUUUCAUAUUUAGUAAAUCAUGUAAUUUCAUUUUAACCUUUUUGUUUCUACGCAGUUUGAUUAAAACAAAUUUAAAUAUUAAAUAAAUAAGAAAUCAAAUGUCGCUUAAAUUAUAAAAGGAAAGAUGUAUGAUUAAUCAAAAUGAUUCAGUUUUAUCAUAGAGACAAGGUGGCAUUGAUAAUGAAAUUCAUGGUCACAGUGUCUUGAAUACGUGCGAAGCAGCUUGGACAAAGAUGCAUAACUCGAAACAGAAGGUGGCAGAAUGAUGGAGUCUUAUCAUUUCGUUCCUUUUUUAAGCGUCUGUAUAUGUGUUUCACGGAGCUCUUUUUCCUCUCUAAGUACUUUUCUUUUCUUUCUC